rnacentral:rRNA from 1 species
GCUUAACGCGAAGAACCUUACCUGGGCUUGACAUACGCCGGAUCGCCGCAGAGAUGUGGUUUCCCUUGUGGCCGGUGUACAGGUGGUGCAUGGUUGUCGUCAGCUCGUGUCGUGAGAUGUUGGGUUAAGUCCCGCAACGAGCGCAACCCUUGUCUUGUGUUGCCAGCACGUUAUGGUGGGGACUCGCGAGAGACUGCCGGGGUUAACUCGGAGGAAGGUGGGGAUGACGUCAAAUCAUCAUGCCCCUUAUGUCCAGGGCUUCACACAUGCUACAAUGGUCGGUACAGUGGGUUGCGAUGCCGUGAGGUGGAGCUAUCCCUUAAAGCCGGUCUCAGUUCGGAUUGGAGUCUGCAACUCGACUCCAUGAAGUCGGAGUCGCUAGUAAUCGCAGAUCAGCAACGCUGCGGUGAAUACGUUCCCCGGGUCUUGUACACACCG